UCUUGUACAUAUUAUGAAACUGAUCAAUUAAUAUGUUUGUGUUUUAAUACCUAUAUUUUUUGUACUUGUAGAUCUACAGUACUUGGAAGUUGCCAGGUUCUUCUAAUUGUAAAAUAAUAAUAAUAUAUUCCCUUUGAAUAGAAGAGGUUGGAGGAUCCUGGUCCUACAUUGAAAUUAUAGUGGAUACACAAGGAUGUGGAUGGUUGUGCAAGAUUUGCAAAGUGUGUGUUGGAAUGAGGCAUGAUGGAGCAAUUGGACCGAGGAGUUGCACCAAAUAUGAUGAUGACUGUGUAUGUGUUGGAAUGAGGCAUGAUGGAGCAAUUGGACCAUGGAGUUGCAUCAAAUGUGAUGAUGAAUGUGCUCUUGCAGACCAUGGAGUUGCAUCAAAUGUGAUGAUGGAUGUGAUCUUGCAGAUUAUGGAGUUGCACCAAAUAUGAUGAAUGAUGUGAUCUUUCAGACCGAGGAGUUGCACCAAAUAUGAUGAUGACUGUGUAUGUGUUGGAUUGAGGCAUGAUGGAGCAAUUGGACCGAGGAGUUGCAUCAAAUGUGAUGAUGGAUGUGAUCUUUCAGACCAUGGAGUUGCACCAAAUAUGAUGAUGGAUGUGAUCUUUCAGACCAUGUAGUUGCACCAAAUAUGAUGAUGGAUAGAUGUCAGAAAGUGGACUGUGACAGAGUAAUGAAGAACUUGACAUGCAUGGUGGAAGUUGAUCGAGACUAUCAAUUCUUCGAGAGGUCCAGCAACAUUAUACUCGCAAGAAGGAUAUGGUAUGGAAUAGCUUUCUACACCUCUGGGCUGGCAGAUUUGUAAGAUUGGAAGUUGUUUCAGUGUGGAGAGAGAUGAACACUUUGUAUGGUCAGGUAAAAUUUGCUGUUGAAGUCACAAGUUAGUCUCAAUAAUGGCAUUUCCAUUUCUUGUUUUCUAACUAGCUAUGUACUGGAAAGUUGGUGGUUCUACUCUUAAAAGGUGUCUGUUUUUGUCCCGAGUAGGUCUCAAUAACGCCAUUUCCAUUUCUUGUUUUCUAACAAGCUAUGUAUUGAAAAGGUGGUUCUACUCUUAAAAGGUGUCUGUCUUUGUCCCAAGUAAGUCUCAAUAAAGCCAUUUCCAUUUCUUGUUUUCUAACUAGCUAUGUAUUGGAAAGUUGGUGGUUCUACUCUUAAAAAAUGUCUGUCUUUGUCCGAAACAAUGUCAUUAAGGCAGAAUUUCCUCUACCUUUAAAGCUGGACAGUCACCAAAAUAGAACGUAGAAUUGUAUCUGUUUAAUAGAAAAAUUGCUUAGGUUACUUUUUGAGAUUGCAAUGUUGUUCUGUUAACCCCAGUGACAUUUCAGAAAACCCUUGCAACAUGUUGGCUAGAUUUCUAGAUUGAUGUUGGAAGUUGUGAUGAUGGAUUUAUGUCAGAAUGUGGAUGGUUGUGUGACAUUGGUGAAGUGAUUUUUAUGACAUUGGUGAAGUGUGAUUGUGCUGGAAAGUGACAUGAUGGAGCAUUGUAAACCUAUAGACCAUGGAGUCUGAAUGGCUUAAGUGGCAUUAAAUGUGAUGAUGGAUAGAUGUCAGGAAAUGGAUGGUAAAAG